AAAAAAAAAAAAAAAAAUCGAAUAUACGCCAUAGAUACGAAUACUUUGAUGAUGACGAAAACAAAAACAAUGGGAUUUUUAAAUUUUAGGUUCUUCGAAUUUUUUUUUUUUACGAUGUGUUGGUUUUUUCGUGAAGAGAAAGAAUUAAAUUUUUUCCUAUACAAAUUUCCGGUCGAGGACGUAACCGGCGGAGAUAAUUAAAUUUAGACGGGAGAAUAUGACCGAAAACGUUAGUGAUUGCACGUACGACGUUGUUCUUUUUGGUUAUACGGUUGAUACGUGGCGAAUACUGAGAGAACCAUCUCGUGUCAAUGUCGAGGAUGUGGACACGUCUGUAAACUGGUGGAUUAGUUACCUCAACACGUGUCAGCUUUUCACACGAAACGAGGAUUAGAUUACUCUUUCACACGGAGUUCUUUUGUUUAUUCCAUCCAUAUUACGUUAAGAGUCCCACUUGGCGAAAAAAUUGGGGAAAAAGGACCAUCAGAUAUAUUGAAACUGAAAAAAAUACGAAAGGAAAAGAAAAUUGUUAGUCGGCCUAUUUUAGUUGACUUCCAAAUUAUGCGCAACUUGUGAAUGGGACAGACUGAGGAAGACUUGAGAGAAUGAGGAAUUUGGUGAGCAACUUGUCCCAUUCUUUGUUAAUUUUAAAAACUUGGGACUCCACAAAAAAAUAAAAUUAUUAGAAGUUGUUCAAUGAUAUUAUACUAAUACAUAAAUCACUUUUGGAGUAGUAGCACCACAUAA